rnacentral:lncRNA from 1 species
GUGCAAGUAAGAAGAGAUGGGAGAAAUUCAGAGGAAAGAGAGGCAAGUUCUGGAACAGGCUUAAGUCGGGUCUGGGAAUGAGUAGUGGCUCCAGUUCUGGCGCAGAGUUUCCAGUGUGCAAGAGGUGUGGCAAACAGCAUAGAGGAGCUUGUCAGUUGGGAUCCACAGCCUGCUAUAGAUGUGGGCAGGAGGGACAUUAUGCACGAGAAUGUCCUCAGGCGACUUUAGUUGCACCAUCCCAGCAGAUGAGUACGGGCAGUGUAGUACAGCCAGUAGCUUCAGCCAUACCACCAAGCAGUGGCAGAGGAAGAGGAAGAGGGGCAG